AAUAAAAAUAUCUUUGGUUGGGGCAACCACGAAGAAAAAAAAACCUUCGUUCUAAAAAGAAAUUUACAAAUUAAAUAUUUUUUAAAAUAAGAUCCAGUACAUCUGAUCAAAGAAAAAAGUUACCGCAGGGAUAACAGCGUUAUUCUCUUUAAGAGUUCAUAUUGACAAGAGAGUUUGCGACCUCGAUGUUGGACCGGGACACCCAAGAGGUGCAACAGCCUCUAAAGGUAGGUCUGUUCGACCUAUAAAGUCCUACGCGAUCUGAGUUCAGACCGACGCAAGUCAGGUCAGUUUCUAUCUA
rnacentral:rRNA from 1 species